rnacentral:rRNA from 1 species
AUCAUGGCUCAGGAUGAACGCUGGCGGCGUGCCUAACACAUGCAAGUCGAACGGAGCUGCUUUGAUGAGAUCUUCGGAUGGAUUUAAAACAGCUUAGUGGCGGACGGGUGAGUAACGCGUGGGUAACCUGCCUCACACUGGGGGAUAACAGUUAGAAAUAGCUGCUAAUACCGCAUAAGCGCACGGUUCCGCAUGGAACAGUGUGAAAAACUCCGGUGGUGUGAGAUGGACCCGCGUCUGAUUAGCCAGUUGGCGGGGUAACGGCCCACCAAAGCGACGAUCAGUAGCCGGCCUGAGAGGGUGAACGGCCACAUUGGGACUGAGACACGGCCCAAACUCCUACGGGAGGCAGCAGUGGGGAAUAUUGCACAAUGGGCGAAAGCCUGAUGCAGCAACGCCGCGUGAGCGAUGAAGGCCUUCGGGUCGUAAAGCUCUGUCCUCAAGGAAGAUAAUGACGGUACUUGAGGAGGAAGCCCCGGCUAACUACGUG